rnacentral:lncRNA from 10 species
UGAGUCUUAGCCAAUCUGAGCAGCUGAGCUUGGGUCAACCACAGGCUGCCAACUGAUGAGACCGUGUUCAAUGGAGCCUAAGCUUCAGAAGGAUGGUCUGGCUGAGCACUAUAUCCAAAGUGCCUCACACACUGCCUGGCAGAGAAUUUGACAACAGUUUGUGCCACUUAUGGAUUUAAAGAACUGGCACCUUGAAUGGGAUUCUGAAUAGAAUUCGUACAGAUGGAAUGUAAAUAUCACCCUGAACUGAAUUGGCCCUCAUCCUGUCCAGCCAAUCUGGAAAUGUCUGGUUUGUCUCCUGGGAGCACUCCCCAAAGAACCUUCUACACACAGUUCUCCAACUCAAAGUCUGUUUUCAGGGAAUCCAAUUCAAGACAGGGAUAGUUGGAAGUCACAACCGUUCCAUGGACUUUGAUGUUCUUGAUAUUCAUUCUUGGUAUUGGCAUUAUGAGUUGUGACACUAGGAGGAGUCUC